rnacentral:rRNA from 1 species
AUGAACGCUGGCGGCGUGCCUAAUACAUGCAAGUCGAGCGAACAGACGAGGAGCUUGCUCCUCUGACGUUAGCGGCGGACGGGUGAGUAACACGUGGAUAACCUACCUAUAAGACUGGGAUAACUUCGGGAAACCGGAGCUAAUACCGGAUAAUAUAUUGAACCGCAUGGUUCAAUAGUGAAAGACGGUUUUGCUGUCACUUAUAGAUGGAUCCGCGCCGCAUUAGCUAGUUGGUAAGGUAACGGCUUACCAAGGCAACGAUGCGUAGCCGACCUGAGAGGGGGGUCGGCCCACCCGGCACUGGGACCCGGCCCAGACCCCCACGGGGGGCCGAAGUAGGGAAUUUUCCCCAAGGGGGGAAAGCCUGACGGGGCAACCCCGCGGGAGGGAUGAAGGUUUUCGGAUCGUAAAACCUUUUUUUUAGGGAAAAAAAAAUGUGUAAGGAACUAUUCCCGUUUUGACGGUACCUUAUCAGGAAGCCCCGGCUAACUACC